AAUGAAAACCACGUGAAUGGAAAGAUUUACAAUCAUGAAGAGCUUAGAAAAUAGCUUCCUAAUCAUACCUUCAGAACCGAAUGCGACUGUGAUGUUAUUGCACACCUGUAUGAGGAGCAUGGAGAGGGUUUUAUGGACAUGCUUGAUGGAAUAUUUUCUUGUUAAAAUAUUCUCAAGAUAUAGUUGUUACAACCGUAUUUUUAUAUAAUAUGCUAUUAACCUUUAUGUAUUCUUCUUCGUAUAUAUUUUUUUGUAAUCUUAAUAUAAAAGAAAAGAAUAUUCUAACCUUAAUUACUAUCUAUACCAUUGGAUGGAUUCCAAAAUAAAGGUAUAAUUUAAAGAUAUUCUUGUUUGCAUUAUUUUGUAAGCUAAAAUCUCUUGUAUAAUGUAUGAUUCAUGGAACUAGCAAGAGACUAAAGAGUCCAUUGAAAAAUGUCAUCUUGAUCAGUUAGAAGAAUUGCAAAAAAUUUGUGGAUCAAAUAAAAAGACUGCCAUGGAAAAUAAUCAUAGUAGUUGCAGGGCUCAAGGAGCAGCCUUACAAAAUCGAAAUGCAGGGCUCAAGGAGUAGUAUGAACCUUUUCUCUCUAGUAUGAGAAGCUAACAAGCAUAAGACAAGCCACAGCUUUCGCUCCGUGUAAGGAGAUUUGUCCCUUCAUUCCUUCCUUUCUGUUGCAGGGAAGUGUUAGGCAACAGUUAGCUCUCUCUAAUGAUAAGGUUCGCUAGUUGGAAGUCGAGUAAGCAAGGCAAAACUGACCGCUGCAGAUGGAACAAAGGCAAUCAAUCUAACAUUUUGUUUUAUUUUUUUAAUUGAUUCAAGCUGAUUUGUUGUAUUAUUUUUUAUAAACGCUAAUCUGUGGAGCAGAAAGUAGAAGAACUUGAACAAAGGCCAUGUUCUUCUCUUUAACAUGCAGUGGAUGAUGUUAAUGGCAGAAGGUUGAUCUUCUAUGAUUUUGGAAUCAUGGGAAGUAUCAGUCCAAAUAUCCGAGAAGGAUGACUGGAAGCUUUCUACGAGGUUUAUGAGAAGGAUCCAGACAAGGUCCUUCAAACAAUGAUUCAAAUGGGUGUCCUUUUUCCCAACUGGAGAUAUGACUGCUGUGAGAAGAACAACACAGUUCUUCCUCAAUAGUUUUAAAGAGCAUCUACCUGCACAAAGGAGAGAGAGAGAGAGAUGGCAAGAGCUGAACUUGGAUUCAAAAAGCCGUUAAGCAAGGAAGAAAAAGUAAUGAAGAAGAAAGAGCGUCUGACUGCCAUCGGUAAAUCAUCUGGAUGUGAGUUUUUUUGUCAUACAGAUUUGCGGAAUGAUCGUCCCUCUACAACACAAUUUAAGGAUAAACUUUCAUGGUUUCUUAGUUCUCUGCCUUCUGCUGAUUGUGCAAAAGGUAGAUCUGAAAGAUUUGGGUCAAAUUCAUUCUUUUAAGUCCUUUUUAUCUUGUUAAUUUCAAUUUAGCGAUGGGUUGGGUUAACCUGGAAGCCCAACUAGUUUAAGUUCCUGUGUGAAUACCAGCUGGGCUUAAUUUUGACAGAAACCUUCGAAAGAGUUAACUUUUUUUUCUAGUUAAUUGCUGGUUUUCAUGCUGGAACUUCUUCUGGGCUAGAACUUCUCCUUUUGGUAAUUAUGACAAAA